GGACUACCCGGGUAUCUAAUCCCGUUCGCUCCCCUGGCUUUCGCGUCUCAGCGUCAGAAAGGGUCCAGGACCUCGCUUUCGCCACGGGCGUUCCUUCCGAUCUCAACGCAUUUCACCGCUCCACCGGAAGUUCCAGGUCCCCCUACCCCCCUCGAGGCCGCCCGUAUCGGCGCCCGUUCCCCGGUUGAGCCGGGGGAUUUCAGCGACCGACGCGGCGGCCCGCCUACACGCGCUUUAAGCCCAGUGAUUCCGAAUAACGUUCGCACGGUUCGUCUUACCGCGGCUGCUGGCAC
rnacentral:rRNA from 1 species